rnacentral:rRNA from 1 species
GAUGAACGCUGGCGGCGUGCCUAAUACAUGCAAGUCGAGCGAACGGACGAGAAGCUUGCUUCUCUGAUGUUAGCGGCGGACGGGUGAGUAACACGUGGAUAACCUACCUAUAAGACUGGGAUAACUUCGGGAAACCGUAGCUAAUACCGGAUAAUAUUUUGAACCGCAUGUUUCAAAAGUGAAAUACGGUCUUGCUGUCACUUAUAGCUGGAUCCGCGCUGCAUUAGCUAGUUGGUAAGGUAACGGCUUACCAAGGCAACGAUGCAUAGCCGAUCUGAGAGGGUGAUCGGCCACACUGGAACUGAGACACGGUCCAGACUCCUACGGGAGGCAGCAGUAGGGAAUCUUCCGCAAUGGGCGAAAGCCUGACGGAGCAACGCCGCGUGAGUGAUGAAGGUCUUCGGAUCGUAAAACUCUGUUAUUAGGGAAGAACAUAUGUGUAAGUAACUGUGCACAUCUUGACGGUACAUAAUCAGAAAGCCACGGCUAACUACGUG